GAUGAACGCUGGCGGCGUGUCUUAGGCAUGCAAGUCGAUCGUGUACCUUCGGGUACAAGAGGCAAACGGGUGAGUAACACAUUGGUAACCUGCCAUUUUGUGAGGAAUAAGCAUUUGAAAAGAUGUCUAAUACCUCAUGUCAUCAUGUUUCAUAUGAAACAUGAGAAAAGCCUUCGGGCGCAAAAUGAGGGGCCUAUGUCCUUUUAGCUAGUUGGUGUGGUAACGGCGCACCAAGGCAUUGAUGGGUAGCUGGUCUAAGUGGAUGAUCAGUCACAUCGGAACUGCGACACUGUCCGA
rnacentral:rRNA from 1 species